AGGGUUAAAAAGAGUACUUAAUUUAAGAGUUUUGAUGUGUGAAUUUCAUAAAAUAAGCAUUUGGUUAAAUUCAUUGGUGUUCAAAGGCUCCCCUCCUGUGGCUAUUAAUGGUACUGCAGACAGUGUAUUUUGUCGCUCUUCUCUUGCCGUACUCCAGCAGAUUUGAGUGUCGCUGCUGUGGUCUUGAAUGUCUGCAGUAGUUUAUCUUCAGCCAAAGUGAUUUGUGCCAUUUUAUUUCCAAAAGAUAAAGGCAAGCACAAGGAAACCCACGUGUGAGUGUGUUUGUUCACGUCUGUU